rnacentral:rRNA from 1 species
CAGUGGCGUACGGGUGAGUAACACGUGGAUCAUCUACCCUGGAGUGGGGAAUAACGCUGGGAAACCGGCGCUAAUACCGCAUAUUCCCGAGAGGGGAAAGCAGCAAUGCGCUCGAGGAGGAGUCCGCGGCCGAUUAGCUAGUUGGUAGGGUAAAAGCCUACCAAGGCUGUGAUCGGUAGCCGGCCUGAGAGGGCACACGGCCACACUGGCACUGAAACACGGGCCAGACUCCUACGGGAGGCAGCAGUGGGGAAUCUUGCACAAUGGGGGAAACCCUGAUGCAGCGACGCCGCGUGAGCGAUGAAGCCCUUCGGGGUGUAAAGCUCUUUC